UCUGAUGGACAAACUUGUCCUGUCUGGUGACCAGAGACACAGAGCGGGACCUGAGUCUUCCAGCAAAGAAGUACAGGGAAACAGCUGCACCCAGACACUCAGAGACCUGGGGGAAGACAUAAAGACACGGCUGUCAGCUACAACCUCCGCAGUGGGACAGCACCAGUGGAGAUUCCAASACAGGAGGAAGGGAAGGCGGCACGGGAAGGAAAGGAGGUGAGGAGGGAGGAAGCUGAGGAGAAGUCUACAAGAAGGAAGAGGAGCCAGAAUCGGGAUCAGCCAGGUACACAGAUGAGCGGGGUAUCCUCCUUACCUACCACAGAAGAAGAAGAGACCCAAAACAUCAACCCCCACAAACCUUCACAGCCCKUCCCCGCAGGCCACUCUACAGCACGGGUCCUCUCUCAGAAGAGAACUCCCAAACACUCAGAGGGACCCCUCACACCCAGUGGCAGGAAAGGAGGCCAUUCUAAGAAAACCAACGUGACAGUAGAUGAACAGAAUCCACAGCAGGUGGAGGGACAGACACAGGAAACAGGUGAACAAACCAGCAMAGAGAAGCUGGAGGACACAUUGAAUAAAGAGGUGGAAUCACAGGAUCUCCUACUGUACAGAAAACGAAAAAGAGAAAAGUGAAUGAAGGACAGGAGCAGACCAGGAAGUCCUCUCCAAGGGGGGAAGGUCUUGAGGAAGAAGAAAAAGGACCGGGUCAAAGGUCAAGCUGAGUUUGUUGUCGGAAAACCUAAAGGCCAUGUGGACGUGGAGAGGACGAACAAGACCAGAGAGACCAAAGGCUUAUCUGAGACGUCUGCUUCUGAUGGAGACGUGAAGGUCACUGAGGACGAUAGUGCUGCACUCAACACACAUGACGAGGACAAGUGACCUCGUCCAAUCCCCUAGAUCCC